UUCCUUCCUCCUUCUAUUUUUUUUCUUUUGAGAAACUUCCUUCCUCCUUCUUCUUUCUAAGAAAUAUAUAUAAAUUUUCAAAGCAACAAAAAAUAGCCAACCAUUAUUAUUAUUAUUAUUAUUGUUAUUAUUAUUGGUCUCCUCCAAUUUAAGCUCUGGUUCCUCGUGAACCCUUUCUCUUUGGUUCUUCCUGUUCGGUUUGUGAUUAUAUUGCUGAAAAUGCACAUAUAUGAGUAUGAAUGAAUCUGUUUGGGAUUCAAUACUAAAGAUCGCAGGAGAGACAUGGGUUGUGUAAUCUGCGGCAUGACUUGGUCUUCUGAUGCUUCUGUUAGAGCAUCUAGGUGUUUUUCAUACUGAAGGGAAUCUUCGUUUGGGAUUCAAAUACCAAAGAUCGCAGGAGAGACAUGGGUUGUGUAAUCUGCGUCAUGACUUGGUCUUCUGAUGCUUCUGUUAGAGCAUCUAGGUGUUUUUCAUACUGAAGGUAAUCUUCGUGUGGGUAGGAUCAUCACAACAAUAAUAUAAAGUUGGCAAGCUCACUAACAAUAUUGAAACUUCUAAUGUCUUUUUCAUAUUGACUUGAUAGACUUCUUGAAUCGAGAUGUUCAACUCUGUUUCUUAACAUCUUCCUAUCAAUAAAAUCAGCCUUCUCUCA